rnacentral:tRNA from 2 species
AGGGUUAUAGUUAAUUAUAACGUUUGGGUUGCAUUCAAAAAAUAUUGAUUAAAUCAAUUAACCUUA